rnacentral:misc_RNA from 1 species
CAACUAAAAUCAAAUGAUGAACGAGUUUUUAAAUUGAGUUUGAGCGCCCUAAUCAAGUGCUCUAACUCGCUCCAUGGAGUCUUUGGAUUUUAUGGAUGUGGGGCAUUGAGAAGACGACCUCGCUCUUUCACCACCUUUUUGGGGUCGAAUGUUGUUCU